UCUUGUCGUACGUGUCAUCUAAACUUGAGUCUUUAACUUGUUCUAGGGACACUGGAAGGUGGGCAGUUGGAAUGUGGCGGUCGACUUCCAAUAUGGAACGGAGGCGUUAUAAGGGUCUAGUAGUACGGUCGGUAAGCGUACGUAGAGUGAAAAGGCAAAAGAGUGCAGGAUUGCAAGAUAUCAAGGUCGAGCAAGGAUGACCCUAGGACUUAGUGAUUCGGUGGUUCUGCGUGGAAGGGUCAUCGCUCAACGGAUAAAUGAUAUCCUUUUGAUAACAGGCUUUUUUCCCCCAAGAGUCCACAUCGACGGGGAGGUUUGGCACCUCGAUGUCGGCUCAUCACAUCCUGGGGCUGUAGUAGGUCCCAAGGGUUGGGCUGUUCGCCCAUUAAAGUGGUACGCGAGCUGGGUUCAGAACGUCGUGAGACAGUUCGGUCCCUAUCCGUCGCAGGCGUAGGAAAUUUGAGAAGAC
rnacentral:rRNA from 1 species